GAAUUCUGCGUGAUUUGAUCAGCCGUGGUUUUAUGUUUUUUGGAUACAAUCCGGGUUAGCACCCGAACAUCCCUUUCAGACAGCUUCCUCUUACAGCGUCCACAGUUAAUCCUGUUGGAUGUGAUUGGUCCUUCUUGGUGGUAUGCUGACAUUACCCUGGAUACCGUGGCUCU